UUCCCUUGACGGCCCUUUGCGAGAAUGCAGAAGAAGAGAAAGUGAAGACAUAUUAUCCCUGUUUGGGUGAUCUUUGGCUUCUGAUAUGACCAGAACUGUCCUUAAUUCCCACCCACCCUCCCCAAAUCUUUUUUGUCCCAUUUGGGAAAUGGAAUGGCCCAGGUACACCCAGGACGAGGGGGGUGGGGUCUAAGGAGCUGACCCCUCCCAUCCUCUCUGGAGCCCCGGAAAUGGACCGGUCCAGGUGCGAGUCCAGGGAGGGCGACCCCAAAUGACUGAUGGGUGAAAGGAAGUGAGAGGAUGCUCUCCUACUAUUUCCCCUACCCUUCAGUCAGAAACAACAGACCCUAAGCUCUGAGGACAGGAACAAUAAGGAACGAACCACCUGUUGAGAGUGGGCGGGACCUGGAAGCUCACCUGUCCUUCCUCCCCCACAAUGACAAUGGACCAACCCAGAAGCUUCUCCCUCUCGAGUCUCCGCCUAAUUAAAUUAGUUUAACGGAUUAACUGAUUUUCAUCAAAGUAAAACUCUGGAUGUGUCCCUCGGGGGUGACUGAGGAUUUCCUGACUUCACCUGCCCCAAGGGGACACUGGCUCUUCCCGCCACCUGGUGGAUGUGGCAAAGAACACGACAAAGAUGCGGAGGCGCUGGGUGCCCGGUCCCCAGAGCUAGAGUUUAAGAAAGUCCAGGGGGACCUUCUGCCAUCUAGCACGGACUUCUUCCCAUUCCAACGUCCCAAGACUUUCCCCUCCAGCCAAACUGGACGCUCAUCCCGAAGUCCCCGUGCCUUCUGGGGGUGAGGCUUGGCCAUUCCCCUCCCUGCCUCAGUUUCCUUACCUGUAAAUUAAAAGGAUUGGACUAAAGGAUCCCUAAAGGGCCUUCUAAACGCCUGUGGUCCUCUUGCUUUUAUUCGAGCUGUUCCCCAUAUCAGGAAUCCCUUCUUCCAUCCUCCAGCUCUGGCCCUCCUUCAGAGCUCAACUGAAAUGCUAGUUUGCCCAGAAAAGCCCCUUUCCUGGGACAUCUUUCACUCUCUCCCUUGCAUUUCGUGAUGGGCUUGAACAUUUGAAAUCCUGCUCCUAACGCUAACUGUGAUGUUGUGCAAAUCUCUGGAUCUCAGUUUCCUCCUUUAUGAAAUCAAGAAAAUAAUAUGCUUGCCCCCUG